UGGGGAAUUGUUCACAAUGGGCGCAAGCCUGAUGACGCAACGCCGCGUGGAGGAUGAAGGUCUUCGGAUUGUAAACUCCUGUUGCCAGGGACGAAUGGCUCCGACCUAAUACGUCGGAGUAUGACGGUACCUGGUGAGGAAGCCCCGGCUAACUCUGUGCCAGCAGCCGCGGUAAUACAGAGGGGGCAAGCGUUGUUCGGAAUUACUGGGCGUAAAGGGCGCGUAGGCGGCCUGCUAAGUCGAACGUGAAAUCCCCAGGCUCAACCUGGGAACUGCGUCCGAUACUGGCAGGCUUGAAUCCGGGAGAGGGAUGUGGAAUUCCAGGUGUAGCGGUGAAAUGCGUAGAUAUCUGGAGGAACACCGGUGGCGAAGGCGGCAUCCUGGACCGGUAUUGACGCUGAGGCGCGAAAGCUAGGGGAGCAAACGG
rnacentral:rRNA from 1 species